GUCUAUGGCCAUGCCACCCUGAACAACCCCGUGUCUGAUCUUGGAAGCUAAGCAGAAUAGGGCCUGGUUAGUACUUGGAUGGGAGACCACCUAGGAAGACAAGGUGCUGUAAGCA
rnacentral:rRNA from 1 species